rnacentral:lncRNA from 1 species
GACAGAGUGUCUAAUAUUUAUGUUUUUGUGUCUCCAGUCUGACAGCGUUCCAUUCCUCAUGCCUGAAGGAAGCAAUUCUUUUCACCUUUUUGGAGAACGAGAUUGGGAUGUGUUGUCACCCGUCCCAGUUUCAAAGUGAGUGUCCUUGAGUUGUUUUAAUUGUCUUUUUUCUGAGUAAAUCUAGAUCAGAGUGUCUCCCUGCUCUCUCUCUCUACUACUCUCAGCUACUGUUUCCCUGCCCUGCUCACUGUUUGCGUUUUGUUCCUUCAGAAAAAGAAAGCGUGAGGAGGAUAAGGGGACGUAUAUCAAGAAACCUCCCAACGCGUUUAUGCUUUUCCUCAAAAGCCAGAGAAAGACGGUGCAGGAAGAGCUCGGCAUUAGGAACAGUGCCGUCGUAAACAAUGUAAUUUCUGAAUGCGUGCGUUUGUUUGUUCCUUAAUGAACGAUCUGUAAUUUUCACAUUUUUGUCUUCAGUGUGUGUGUGUGUGUGUGUGUGUGUGUGACACUCUGUUAUUGUUCAUCCACAGUGGAAGUCAUUGCCAGCAGAACAAAGAGACGUCUUUAAAGCAGAAGCUGAAAUGGAAGCUAAAAUUCAUGCUUUGAAUAACCCCGGCUGGAGCAACAAAGUGAACUACAAAAGUCUAGUCUGCAGAAAUGUUUACACAUCAGCCUUAGAGGGGAAAAAGAGUAAAAAGUACAGCACUCCACCCUCCUGCUGAUGGGACUGUGUAAUAAACUCACUAACAACUAACGGUAAGUCUCA